rnacentral:rRNA from 1 species
AUUAGAUACCCUGGUAGUCCACGCAGUAAACGAUGAAUACUAAUUGUCCGGGACGAAUGAGUCCUGGGUGAUACAGCGAAAGCGUUAAGUAUUCCACCUGGGGAGUACGCCGGCAACGGUGAAACUCAAAGGAAUUGACGGGGGCCCGCACAAGCGGAGGAACAUGUGGUUUAAUUCGAUGAUACGCGAGGAACCUUACCCGGGCUCAAACGGCACAGGAAUACUUUUGAAAGGAGGUAGCCCUACGGCGUCUGUGCCGAGGUGCUGCAUGGUUGUCGUCAGCUCGUGCCGUGAGGUGUCGGCUUAAGUGCCAUAACGAGCGCAACCCCCACCGUCAGUUGCCAGCAGGUAAGGCUGGGGACUCUGACGGGACUGCCGGCGCAAGCGGUGAGGAAGGCGGGGAUGACGUCAAAUCAGCACGGCCCUUACGUCCGGUGCGACACACGUGUUACAAUGGCAGGUACAGAGAGAAGCCAG